UCUAGACUUGUUCGUUCUAUUCAAACACGACCAAAUGUUUUCAGCCUUCCUCUGGUCUUGUCUCACUUCGCAGAUGCCUAUGGCCGGAGCUACACAUGCAGGAGGCGCUGGGUGAGCAAAACGUCCUGAGCUGAGAUUAUUCGGAUCAUGUUUACAGACACACAUUUCUCUGCAAGAAGUGAACGUCAAGCCUUCUUAUCUCCCUCCCGCCUUGCUUCCAGCUCUUCUGGGAAUCACAUGAAAGUGCUUUAUCUCGUGAAACACACGCAAGAUCAAUAGCCACACCUUUCUUGUGUAUUUAAUAUCUGCUGAAUGAAGCUGUGGGGACUGACGUAACGUGGGCCUCCUGGCCCACAGCUCUGGCCUUGGAGAUAGAGGCAGUAGGAACCGACAAGGACUCAGCCAUUCAAUUCAAGGUGACAGCUCUCCCGGCCUCAUCUGUGUGGCAUUUUCCUUGUUAAUGCGGUCCCAGAGCUCAGCCACAGAAUAUCCUGUUUGGGGAAGAUUCUUAGAGAAAUGUCCUUCUGGCCUUGGGAUCAGGAUUCGUUGUGCUUCUUCCAAAGAGCUGUGGCUGUUGAUUUGUUUCAAUGGUACCAUCACCCACUGUAGAGACCAGCCUUUUCCAUCUGUGGAGCCCUUAUCAACAUCCGAUGGAAAAGUGAGCGAAUGGUGAGGAAGUAAAGGCAGUAACUUCUUUAUUGCAAGGAGCAGAACCAUGAAUUCCAACCUGAGAAUGAAGGGAAUUAGAGGGGCUGGGCAAGGGAUGCUCACAAACAGCGAUGAAAGUUGGACUAUGCAUCAAAAGUCUUUAAAAUGACCAUAUACCAUUUAAUUCAGGCAUUCCACUUCUGGGGUCAAACAAUGGGAAGGUAAAUACGGCCUAAAUAAGUAGAGUGACAUACCAUUUGGAUAGAUUAGAAGUCUUAAUAUGGUGAAGAUAUGAAAGCAUCCCCACUUCACAGAUGAAUAAACUGAGGCAUGGAGAGAUUAAAUAACUUGUC
rnacentral:lncRNA from 12 species